GAGAGAGAGCACAGGUGUCCUGCUGCCUGGGAUCUGCUGAGUGCCGUCCUUCGCAGCAGAUGAGUGUCCAGUCCCUGAGCCUGUGCAGCGGCCUGCCCUGCACUCGGGCAGGGUGGGUGCAGCCCGCUGCAUGUGAACAGCCAUUAUGUCACCCACGGCAGCCAAGGGCUCUGGCCAUGGCCACACAGGGCAGAGCUUUUGGACUCUGGGACUGCAGCUGCCCCAUAGGGCCCAGUGCCCUCACCGCACUGCUUGAGGUAUGUGCAGCACUACGGCCUGGGCGCCGCCUGUGACGACAUCGAGCGCGUGCUGAAGUGCGUGGCCGUGAAGCUGGGGAAGACGCAGAAGGUGAAGGUGCUCACGGGCACAGGUGACGUCAACGUCAUUCAGCCGAACUACCCCGAGGCAGCGCGAGACUUCCUCCGGACCUUCCGCAGGGGGCAGCUGGGCCCCGUGAUGCUGGACCUCGAUGUUCUGCAGGGCCGCCCCCCGGCCGACGCAGACCCCUGAACUGGGCGCGUGGCCUCCCACACCUGCCUGGCCUGGGUGUUUGAGGCUUGGGACAGCCUACCCUUUUCCAGAAGCUCCACGCCAGCCACCAUGACUCGGGUCCCUGCUCCAGGAAGGGACGCGGUGCUUCUGGCCCCACCGCACCUGGCCGGCUCCUGGUUACCGGGGCACCUGCCAGCAUCAGAAGAGUGUCCCGAGUACCUGGCCUGGCAGCGCCGUUCCUCCUCAGUGUCUCUUAAGGAGCUGAGCUAUACUCUGAAAUUUUUUAAAUUCUGCAUUAGAAGGCCCAUCUUCGUUGGCCCAUGAAUUGUACAGCCCUAGAGCCUGGGCCCACAUGUGUUGAAGCCCCUCUCACGCUUGGAACAUGGGAAACAGGUGGGUUGGCAGCCAGAGUUUGUGUCAGGUUCUCAGACUGGAGACCUGUCCCCACAACCAGGGAGCCUCGUUGCCAGCAGAGGGUUUAUUUCACACCAGCGAAUGUGCUCACAGACAGGGACAAGGCGUUUUGAGUAGCAAAACCCAAGGACUGGCCUUUCCCCUCAGUGCUCCGGAGGGCCCAUUUCUUGGGCCUGCGGACGGCUUUGCUGCGUACAGGCUGGGGGGUGCCUAGUGUGGGCAGUGGAGACUCCGGGCCUCUGAGCACCUCCUAGCUGACGGGAUAGUGGGCCUGUGCUUCCGCGGGGCUAGGGGGCACUGCGGGGCCCUCCCAGUCUGGGCAUCUGCACUUGAAGGAGCCUGAGGAACGUUCCUGCCUCCAGCCUGCGUCCUAGAAAAGUGCCGGGCAGGCCAGUGGGCUUGGGCGGGGGCGCAGACUCUGGGGGUGCUGCUGGGCCUGGGCUGGGGCCACCUGGUCUGAAGUUCUGGCCUUAUCUCUGUCCAGUGGCGGCCUGGCUUUGUCUCUGCCAUGCUCAGUGUGCAGCUGGCCUUCGUCUUGCGUGGGUGUCCCGCCUCGUCGGGGCUGGUCGGUGUCUUCCGCUGGCCCCUCCAGGUGUGGCUGCCCGUGUGGCUGCCCCACGCCCUGCACUCUCGGUACCUGAAGUGACCCCCAGCACCAUCUCUUCCUGCUGGAACCCUGCCUGGGCGGGACAUAACUCGGAGUCGCGGCUGUGCCAUAUGCUAAUGCGCCAAAUAAACUGUCACGGAAGAGUGAUGUUUCUGACGUCU